UACGAGGGGAGCAAGCGUUGUUCGGAUUUACUGGGCGUAAAGGGCGCGUAGGCGGUCGUGACAAGUCACUUAGUGAAAUCUCCGGGCUUAACUCGGAACGGUCAAGUGAUACUGUCGGACUAGAGUACAGAAGGGGUCAACGUGGAAAUUUCUCGGGUGUAGCGGUGAAAUGCGUAGAUAUCGAGAGGAACACCUGCGGCGAAGGCGGGUUGCUGGGCUGAUACUGACGCUGAUGCGCGAAAGCCAGGGAGCGAACGGG
rnacentral:rRNA from 1 species